rnacentral:rRNA from 1 species
GACGAACGCUGGCGGCGUGCUUAACACAUGCAAGUCGAACGGAAAGGCCCUGCUUUUGUGGGGUGCUCGAGUGGCGAACGGGUGAGUAACACGUGAGUAACCUGCCCUUGACUUUGGGAUAACUUCAGGAAACUGGGGCUAAUACCGGAUAGGAGCUCCUGCUGCAUGGUGGGGGUUGGAAAGUUUCGGCGGUUGGGGAUGGACUCGCGGCUUAUCAGCUUGUUGGUGGGGUAGUGGCUUACCAAGGCUUUGACGGGUAGCCGGCCUGAGAGGGUGACCGGCCACAUUGGGACUGAGAUACGGCCCAGACUCCUACGGGAGGCAGCAGUGGGGAAUGUUGCACAAUGGGCGGAAGCCUGAUGCAGCAACGCCGCGUGCGGGAUGAAGGCCUUCGGGUUGUAAACCGCUUUCGCCUGUGACGAAGCGUGAGUGACGGUAAUGGGUAAAGAAGCACCGGCUAACUACGUG